rnacentral:rRNA from 1 species
CCUACGGGAGGCUGCAGUGAGGAAUAUUGGUCAAUGGACGAGAGUCUGAACCAGCCAAGUCGCGUGAAGGAUGACUGCCCUAUGGGUUGUAAACUUCUUUUAUAUGGGAAUAAAAUGUUCCACGUGUGGGAUUUUGUAUGUACCAUAUGAAUAAGGAUCGGCUAACUCCGUGCCAGCAGCCGCGGUAAUACGGAGGAUCCGAGCGUUAUCCGGAUUUAUUGGGUUUAAAGGGAGCGUAGGUGGAUUGUUAAGUCAGUUGUGAAAGUUUGCGGCUCAACCGUAAAAUUGCAGUUGAAACUGGCAGUCUUGAGUACAGUAGAGGUGGGCGGAAUUCGUGGUGUAGCGGUGAAAUACUUAGAUAUCACGAAGAACUCUGAUUGCGAAGGCAGUUCACUGGACUGCAACUGACACUGAGGCUCGAAAGUGUGGGUAUCAAACAGGAUUAGAUACCCGGGUAGUC